ensembl:lncRNA novel transcript
UACUUAGACAGACUAUGAAGAGAUACAUAGGGUGAGAAACGGAGGCCUUCAGCCAACAGCUGGGAGAAGCUGAGUCCCAUCAGCCAUUCAAAAGACUGCAGCCCCAGCCAAGAGUUUGAUGUAACCUCAGGAGAGACCCUGAGCCAGAACCACCUAGGAGAUGAUGAGCUCCUGGGCAAGACUGAGGUUUGUGUCAUUUUGCAUCCCCAGCACCGAGAAGAGUACCUGGCACUUAUUGGUGCGCAGACAAUGUUUACUGCAUGAUUAGAAGGUUUAACUGGAAAAACCUACUAACCUCUGAAAUCUCCAAGUGAGAAGACCUUACUUGUCUUCUGAAAGUCUGGCCAACGAGCUAUACCUAGUGAUUCCAAAGUCCACAUAUAUUUACUCUGUUCUCACUGUACAAAGUAACCACUCUGAAGUCAAAAAAGCUGGGAUACAUGAAGACUGCCAUCCCUUGAGUCACUUGCCCUGUAGCUGCCACUGUUGGAAAAGGGCUUGCUUCUGUGUCCUUGUGCCCACUUUGAAAAUCCCUGGGAAGUCCUUGGAGUCAGAUGAGCAGGCCUCCGCCACUCUGCCAAAAAGUCUGUUCAAUCAGGAGUCCCCAACCCCUGAGCCAUGGACUGAUAUGGAGCUAUGGUCUGUUAGGAACUGGGCUGCCCAGGAGGAGCAAUGGUGCUUCUACAAUUUCCUUAUAGGAGGAGUGAAGAGUAAGCAUUUGGAUUGGACCAGGAUUUGGAGAACUUGUCAUGUUGCUCUACGUGCAUAUGAAAUACAUCAUUGUAACUUAGAAUGUGAAUUACAGAACAAACAUGAAAGUUAGAAAAA